rnacentral:rRNA from 1 species
CAGUAGCCGCGGGAAUACGAAGGGUGCAAGCGUUAAUCGGAAUUACUGGGCGUAAAGCGUGCGUAGGCGGUGAGUUAAGUCUGCUGUGAAAUCCCCGGGCUCAACCUGGGAAUGGCAGUGGAUACUGGCUCGCUAGAGUGUGUCAGAGGAUGGUGGAAUUCCCGGUGUAGAGGUGAAAUUCGUAGAUAUUCGGAAGAACACCAGUGGCGAAGGCGGCUCACUGGCUCAUACUGGACGCUGGGGUGCGAAAGCGUGGGGAGCAAACAGGAUUAGAUACCCGCGUAGUCCCUGUCUCUUAUAC